ACGCUGAGCCACGCGCACAAUA
rnacentral:miRNA from 1 species